UUGCAGACUGACUGAGACUGAAAGGCAACUUUCCUUCUACUGAGAGGCUAUGAAACUGCCAGAGAAAGCUGAAAUUCCUGUUACUUGGGGCCAUGGACCAAAAUCCUGUGUACAAAGUCCAAGACCAAAUGAGCUAGAUGACAGGUGUUACAGAUACCAGGGUGUGUGACGCAAAGGUGUGCAAAGAAGAUUGUGGUAGAGAGCAUCUGGAAAAUCGUCCUUUUUCAUUUCUAUGUUGUCUCAACUGGAAAUCAGGAUUCCUUCAGACAAAGAGAACGACCUGGCUUUAUCAUAUAUUGUGAAAAUUUUAUUGAGCUAAUUUGCAGGCUAGAAAACAAUAAUCCAAGAAGUUAACUACCUGU
rnacentral:lncRNA from 1 species